rnacentral:rRNA from 1 species
UGGGGAAUAUUGCACAAUGGGCGAAAGCCUGAUGCAGCGACGCCGCGUGAGGGAUGGAGGCCUUCGGGUUGUAAACCUCUUUCGCUCAUGGUCAAGCCGCAACAGUGGUUGUGGUGAGGGUAGUGGGUAAAGAAGCACCGGCUAACUACGUGCCAGCAGCCGCGGUAAUACGUAGGGUGCGAGCGUUGUCCGGAAUUAUUGGGCGUAAAGGGCUUGUAGGCGGUUUGUCGCGUCUGCCGUGAAAUCCUCUGGCUUAACUGGGGGCGUGCGGUGGGUACGGGCAGGCUUGAGUGCGGUAGGGGAGACUGGAACUCCUGGUGUAGCGGUGGAAUGCGCAGAUAUCAGGAAGAACACCGGUGGCGAAGGCGGGUCUCUGGGCCGUUACUGACGCUGAGGAGCGAAAGCGUGGGGAGCGAACAGGAUUAGAUACCCUGGUAGUCCACGCUGUAAACGUUGGGCACUAGGUGUGGGGGCCACCCGUGGUUUCUGCGCCGUAGCUAACGCUUUAAGUGCCCCGCCUGGGGAGUACGGCCGCAAGGCUA